CUUGCUCCUGGAUUAGUGGCGAACGGGUGAGUAACACGUGAGUAACCUGCCCUUAACUCUGGGAUAAGCCUGGGAAACUGGGUCUAAUACCGGAUAUGACUCCUCAUCGCAUGGUGGGGGGUGGAAAGCUUUUUGUGGUUUUGGAUGGACUCGCGGCCUAUCAGCUUGUUGGUGAGGUAAUGGCUUACCAAGGCGACGACGGGUAGCCGGCCUGAGAGGGUGACCGGCCACACUGGGACUGAGACACGGCCCAGACUCCUACGGGAGGCAGCAGUGGGGAAUAUUGCACAAUGGGCGCAAGCCUGAUGCAGCGACGCCGCGUGAGGGAUGACGGCCUUCGGGUUGUAAACCUCUUUCAGUAGGGAAGAAGCGAAAGUGACGGUACCUGCAGAAGAAGCGCCGGCUAACUACGUGCCAGCAGCCGCGGUAAUACGUAGGGCGCAAGCGUUAUCCGGAAUUAUUGGGCGUAAAGAGCUCGUAGGCGGUUUGUCGCGUCUGCCGUGAAAGUCCGGGGCUCAACUCCGGAUCUGCGGUGGGUACGGGCAGACUAGAGUGAUGUAGGGGAGACUGGAAUUCCUGGUGUAGCGGUGAAAUGCGCAGAUAUCAGGAGGAACACCGAUGGCGAAGGCAGGUCUCUGGGCAUUAACUGACGCUGAGGAGCGAAAGCAU
rnacentral:rRNA from 1 species